GAUGAACGCUGCGGCGUGCGUAACACAUGCAAGUUGAACGACGGUGCCAUGAAGUGGUAACACGGAGUGGUAUACGGAGUAGCGGACGGGUGAGUAAAGCAUGAGAAUCUGUCCUGUCGAGGGGGAUAACGUUCGGAAACGGACCCUAAUACCCCAUAGUCCGAGAGGUUAAAGGCAGCGAUGCGCGGCAGGAGGAGCUCGUGUCCUAUCAGCUAGUUGGUGAGGUAACGGCUCACCAAGGCAACGACGGGUAGCCGGCCUGAGAGGGUGACCGGCCACACUGGAACUGAGAAACGGUCCAGACUCCUACGGGAGGCAGCAGUGGGGAAUAUUGGGCAAUGGGAGGAAUCCUGACCCAGCGACGCCGCGUGAACGAAGACGGCUUCGGGUUGUAAAGUUCUUUUAUGUGGGAAGAAUGAAGUGACGGUACCACAUGAAUAGCCCGGCUAA
rnacentral:rRNA from 1 species